UACCAGCACCCCGAGUGGUCGGGACGAUUAUUGGGCCUAAAGCAUCCGUAGCCGGUCCUACAAGUCUUCCGUUAAAUCCACCUGCUCAACAGAUGGGCUGCGGAAGAUACUAUAGGGCUAGGAGGCGGGAGAGGCAAGCGGUACUCAGUGGGUAGGGGUAAAAUCCUCUGAUCCAUUGAAGACCACCAGUGGCGAAGGCGGCUUGCCAGAACGCGCUCGACGGUGAGGGAUGAAAGCUGGGGGAGCAAACCGG
rnacentral:rRNA from 1 species